rnacentral:lncRNA from 1 species
UGAGACAAUAUUUUUACCUAUUUAUGAGAUACAAUGUGCUUUUUUGAUUUAUGUAUAUAUCAGGUGGUAAUCAAUUCAGGGUAAUUAGCAUAUCCCAAACCUUAAGCUUUACAAUUUCCUUAUGGUAUGGUAUAUAUCUCAAAAUUGAAGAGCCUCUCUUCUAUUUUGAGAUAUAUAAUGCACCAUAUUUAAUAUUCCCUCUGCUAAGCCAUACAACAUCAGAACUCACUCCUCAAACAGUAACACUGCACUGGUUGACCCAGCUCUCACCCUCCCCCAUUCUCUUUCUUCCCAGUCUCUGGUAACACUGGUAACCACUACUCUACUCUCAGCUUCUCUGAGAUCAGAUUUUUAGAAUUCCACUUCUGAGUGGAGCAUGUGGUGUUUGUCUUUCUGUGCCUGCUUUAUUUCAGUUAAUAUAAUAUCCUCUGGGUCCAUUCCCGUCUUCAAAAUUGACUGGAUUAGAGCUGUGUGCAGUGGCACAUGCCUAUAAUCCCAGGGAUU